UCCCUCUUAGCUCAGUGGUAGAGCGCUUCACUAGUACAGAAGAGUUCGGCUCAAUGUUCUAUGAAGAGGUCAGUCGUUCAAGUCGGCUAGAGGGAA